UACGGGAGGGUGCAAGCGUUAAUCGGAAUUACUGGGCGUAAAGCGUGCGUAGGCGGUUCGUUAAGUCUGUUGUGAAAGCCCCGGGCUCAACCUGGGAAUGGCAAUGGAUACUGGCGAGCUAGAGUGUGUCAGAGGAUGGUGGAAUUCCCGGUGUAGCGGUGAAAUGCGUAGAGAUCGGGAGGAACAUCAGUGGCGAAGGCGGCCAUCGUGGGACAACACUGACGCUGAGGCACGAAAGCGUGGGGAGCAAACAGG
rnacentral:rRNA from 1 species